rnacentral:lncRNA from 10 species
CCUUUCCCCUCCGGCCUCUGCCGGUGCUGCUGCGCCCUGCGGAGCUCCGAACACGUGCGCAGAGGCUGGCUGUGGCAGAUGCAACUGCAGGAUGACUUGAAAGUAGGGCAUCCUUCACCCAUCUGAAGGGAGGAAAUAGUGGCAGGUGACAGUCUGCAUGUGCAGUUUUCAGAUGCCUUCACCUGAAUGACAUCUACCUCCAUCAGGACCCCAGAUGUCUGACAGCCCUGUGUGACACCAAGAUAAGUAACGCUGGAGUGCAAUGGCGCAAUCUCGGCUCACUACAACCUCUACCUCCUGGGUUCAAGCGAUUCUCCUGCCUCGGCCUCCUGAGUAGCUGGGAUUAUAGGCGUGCACUACCACGCCCAGCUAAUUUUUGUAUUUUUAGUAGAGAUGGGGUUUCACCAUGUUGGUCAGGCUGGUCUCGAACUCCUGACCUCGUGAUCCACCUGCCUUGGCCUCCUAAAGUGAUGGGAGUACAGGCAUGAGCCACCGCGCCCAGCCAAGUAUCAGAAUUUUAGAGAAUUCUUAGGAUCUAAAGU